rnacentral:rRNA from 1 species
AUGGACGAAAGUCUGACGGAGCAACGCCGCGUGAGUGAUGAAGGUUUYCGRWUCGUAAAGCUCUGUUGUUAGGGAAGAACAAGUACCGUUCGAAUAGGGCGGUACCUUGACGGUACCUAACCCAGAAAGCCACGGCUAACUACGUGCCAGCAGCCGCGGUAAUACGUAGGUGGCAAGCGUUGUCCGGAAUUAUUGGGCGUAAAGGGCUCGCAGGCGGUUUCUUAAGUCUGAUGUGAAAGCCCCCGGCUCAACCGGGGAGGGUCAUUGGAAACUGGGGAACUUGAGUGCAGAAGAGGAGAGUGGAAUUCCACGUGUAGCGGUGAAAUGCGUAGAGAUGUGGAGGAACACCAGUGGCGAAGGCGACUCUCUGGUCUGUAACUGACGCUGAGGAGCGAAAGCGUGGGGAGCGAACAGGAUUAGAUACCCUGGUAGUCCACGCCGUAAACGAUGAGUGCUAAGUGUUAGGGGGUUUCCGCCCCUUAGUGCUGCAGCUAACGCAUUAAGCACUCCGCCUGGGGAGUACGGUCGCAAGACUGAAACUCAAAGGAAUUGACGGGGGCCCGCACAAGCGGUGGAGCAUGUGGUUUAAUUCGAAGCAACGCGAAGAACCUUACCAGGUCUUGACAUCCUCUGACAAUCCUAGAGAUAGGACGUCCCCUUCGGGGGCAGAGUGACAGGUGGUGCAUGGUUGUCGUCAGCUCGUGUCGUGAGAUGUUGGGUUAAGUCCCGCAACGAGCGCAACCCWUGAUCUUAGUUGCCAGCAUUCAGUUGGGCACUCUAAGGUGACUGSCGGUGACAAACCGGAGGAAGGUGGGGAUGAC